UGGGUGGAGAGCAAUCAAACGGUAUGAAAAGUCCGCNNAGAACGAGCGCNCGUACAUGGGAGUGAGNGAGAAACUGGGAAGGUAUAGUCCUGUAAGGGUAGGUAAUAUUUCAGGUGUAGCAGUGAAAUGCGUAGAGAUCUGGAGGAAUAACGGUGCCCCGGUCGAGCCCCUGGCCAAAGACUUACGCUCAGGUGCGAAAGCGUGGGGAUCUAGCAGGAUUAGAUACCCUGGUAGUCCACGCCGUAAACGAUGUCGACUUGUAGGUUGUGCCCUUUAGGCGUGGCUUCCGGAGCUAACGCGUUAAGUCGACCGCCUGGGGAGUACGGCCGCAAGGUUAAAACUCAAAUGAAUUGACGGGGGCCCGCACAAGCGGUGGAGCAUGUGGUUUAAUUCGAUGCAACGCGAAGAACCUUACCUACUCUUGACAUCCAGAGAACUUAGCAGAGAUGCUUUGGUGCCUUCGGGAACUCUGAGACAGGUGCUGCAUGGCUGUCGUCAGCUCGUGUUGUGAAAUGUUGGGUUAAGUCCCGCAACGAGCGCAACCCUUAUCCUUUGUUGCCAGCGGUCCGGCCGGGAACUCAAAGGAGACUGCCAGUGAUAAACUGGAGGAAGGUGGGGAUGACGUCAAGUCAUCAUGGCCCUUACGAGUAGGGCUACACACGUGCUACAAUGGCGCAUACAAAGAGAAGCGACCUCGCGAGAGCAAGCGGACCUCAUAAAGUGCGUCGUAGUCCGGAUUGGAGUCUGCAACUCGACUCCAUGAAGUCGGAAUCGCUAGUAAUCGUGGAUCAGAAUGCCACGGUGAAUACGUUCCCGGGCCUUGUACACACCGCCCGUCACACCAUGGGAGUGGGUUGCAAAAGAAGUAGGUAGCUUAACCUUCGGGAGGGCGCUUACCA
rnacentral:rRNA from 1 species